AAGACGAAAAAAAAGACUUCUAAUCUUUAACAAGUGAUUACACUUCGUCUUU
rnacentral:tRNA from 1 species